UCCAUGUCCGCGCCCUCCAGCCUGCGUUGGAUUCCACCCUGGGCUUCAUCCUCAGAGGCUUGGAGUAGCUCCAAGCUGACGUUGACCUGCUCCUCCACCUUUUCCUUCUCUUCGAUGGCACACAGCAGCUCCCGUUCCUCAUCCCCUUUCCAGCUCGGAGCCCUGCGUGCUGCCCGCUCCUUCUUCUCGGUGCCCCCAGCUGUGCGCCCCCGCCGGGGCCGGGUGCUGCU
rnacentral:lncRNA from 1 species